CCUAGUAACGGCGAGUGAAGCGGCAUCAGCUCAAAUUUGAAAUCUGGCGCAAGCCCGAGUUGUAAUUUGUAGAGGAUACUUCGGCGUAGGCCCCGUUCUAAGUUCCUUGGAACAGGACGUCCUAGAGGGUGAGAACCCCGUCUUCGAUCGGGUCGCCUUCGCCAUGUGAAGUUCCUUCGACGAGUCGAGUUGUUUGGGAAUGCAGCUCUAAGCGGGAGGUAAAUUUCUUCUAAAGCUAAAUAACGGCCAGAGACCGAUAGCGCACAAGUAGAGUGAUCGAAAGAUGAAAAGCACUUUGGAAAGAGAGUUAAAAAGUACGUGAAAUUGUUGAAAGGGAAGCUCAUGCUGCCAGACUUGGCCGCGCCUCUUCGGUGGCGCGGGCAGGCCAGCAUCAGUUCGGGCGGCCUGAUAAAGACCUUUGGAAUGUAGCUCCUCGGAGUGUUAUAGCCUAGGGUGUAAUGGGGUCAGCCUGGACUGAGGAUCGCGUUCGCUAGGAUGCUGGCGUAAUGGCAGUAUGCGACCCGUCUUGAAACACGGACCAAGGAGUCUAACAUCUGUGCGAGUGUUUGGGUGUAAAACCCAUGCGCGUAAUGAAAGUGAACGGAGGUGGGAAAGCGCAAAGCUGCACCAUCGACCGAUCCUGAUGUCCUCGGAUGGAUUUGAGUAAGAGCAUAGCUGUUGGGACCCGAAAGAUGGUGAACUAUGCCUGAAUAGGGUGAAGCCAGAGGAAACUCUGGUGGAAGGCUCGCAGCGGUUCUGACGUGCAAAUCGAAUCGUCAAAUUUGGGGAAUAAGGGCGAAAGACUAAUCGAACAU
rnacentral:rRNA from 1 species